GACGAACGCUGGCGGCGUGCUUAACACAUGCAAGUCGAGCGGUAAGGCUCCUUCGGGAGUACACGAGCGGCGAACGGGUGAGUAACACGUGCGUAAUCUGCCCUUCCCUUCGGGAUAACCACCGGAAACGGUGGCUAAUACCGAAUACGACCAGUCUUCGCAUGAGGUGCUGGUGGAAAGUCUUUUCGGUGAAGGAUGUGCUCGCGGCCUAUCAGCUUGUUGGUGGGGUAAUGGCCUACCAAGGCUUCGACGGGUAGCCGGCAUGAGAGGGUGACCGGCCACACUGGGACUGAGACACGGCCCAGACGCCUACGGGAGGCAGCAGUGGGGAAUAUUGGACAAUGGGCGAAAGCCUGAUCCAGCAACGCCGCGUGAGGGAUGACGGCCUUCGGGUUGUAAACCUCUUGCAGUACCGACGAAGCGCCCUGUCGGGUGGUGACGGUAGGUACAGAAGAAGGACCGGCCAACUACGUG
rnacentral:rRNA from 1 species